GACGAACGCUGGCGGCGUGCUUAACACAUGCAAGUCGAACGGUAAGGCCCUUUCGGGGGUACACAAGUGGCGAACGGGUGAGUAACACGUGGGUGAUCUGCCCUGCACUUUGGGAUAAGCCUGGGAAACUGGGUCUAAUACCGGAUAGGACUACGCGAUGCAUGUCGUGUGGUGGAAAGCUUUUGCGGUGUGGGAUGGGCCCGCGGCCUAUCAGCUUGUUGGUGGGGUGAUGGCCUACCAAGGCGACGACGGGUAGCCGGCCUGAGAGGGUGUCCGGCCACACUGGGACUGAGAUACGGCCCAGACUCCUACGGGAGGCAGCAGUGGGGAAUAUUGCACAAUGGGCGCAAGCCUGAUGCAGCGACGCCGCGUGGGGGAUGACGGCCUUCGGGUUGUAAACCCCUUUCAGCACAGACGAAGCGUAAGUGACGGUAUGUGCAGAAGAAGCACCGGCCAACUACGUG
rnacentral:rRNA from 1 species